GUGCUUGAUUCGGCAGCGCUUAAGACUAAAACUGGAACGAUACAAAGAUUAGCAUGGCCCCUGUGUAAGGAUGACACAAAAAUUUGUGAAGUGUUCCAUAUUUUU